rnacentral:pre_miRNA from 1 species
AGGAGCAACAGCCCUAGUGGUGGGGCCAGCUCUGGAAACCUGGAUUCAGCUCCGGCAGGAACUCCGGAGCUCUCAGUCUGCAGGGCCUGGAGGCUCCGGGGCGGG